CUCCCUUCAGGUGUGGCUCCCUUCAGGUGCGGCUCCCUUCAGCUGAUGAUUCAAUUCAAAGACACGUGGGCAGCCUGACCAAAACAAGAUGAAGAGCUGUUAACAUGUAUGCUACACCACGCUGCCUCACCUGCUUCAACAUCUGGUGUUUCCUCGCUCUGAGAACUCUGAUCUGUGCUGCAGCUGGAAGGAUUUUCUUUGGAUUAAAGUUUACCUGUUAACUAACUUGUAGCUUUUCUGUGCAGUUUUCUUUAUAGAUUUAAAG